rnacentral:lncRNA from 7 species
UGUACAUACAUCCACUGAAAAACGUGGAGUUUAUGCAGAUAAAAGCCACAUGCGUUGUGGUAACUGCCUUUUUACUUGUGUAUCUACAGGGAGCAGCACGCCAGCACUGUUUCCUAGAACCUGUCGCUUACUGUGCAGGAAUCAUGCCAUCGGACACAGAUCAGUAAUGCUUGUUGCUUGAUCCAACUGCUGUAUAGCUGAUGAAUUCAUGGAUUUAAGACAAAUAAUCCGUAUUUCAUUACUAGCAAGUGCUAGAAAUAAAAAUGUACUCUGCACUAUUGCUUGGAAAAACAAAUCCUGAAGUCGUAAGAGAGGAUUAAAGUUGGAAAAAAAUCUCUCAAGAGAAAAACGAAGGGAGUAAUGACAUCUGCUUAGCAGCAUCCAGCCCCUCAGCCUGCAGCACGGACCUCUGGAGCCCUUACACACGGAAUAAAAGGGGAUGCAGUGAGUGAGGAGCAGCAGAACUGCAAGCAGAGCAGCGCUACUGGUGUAAGAUGGCAUUAGGAAGAGUGGAGUUUUGUUAAUGGGUCAUGGAAAGUAGGUUCUACCUCUCAUAAUGCAAACUGUCUUAUUUUUGUUUCAUUUCCUUCCCAGGGUGGUGUUCUACCAUGGCAGUAAACAAAGCCAUCGGUUGCAGACUUCUGCACCAAUUCAGGUGGCUCCAUUGAAGGUGUAAGAUUGGAGGUGUGAGGUUUCUCAGCAGUGGGACGUUACCACCUAGCUGUGAGCUGGCUUUGCUCUGGUGGGCGUCCUGCUGUUCCCCCACAGUGAGCUGUGUUCUGGUUCUGUUGGAAGGCUGCCCGGUCCUUCUGCCGGGUUUAUAUUCCACUUAAACGCGUGGCUAUUCAAGUGACCAACCUUUUGGAGUGUCUCGUUUGGCUUUGCCUUAAACGUUUGCUGCUCCUACCCCUUCCCCCCUUCCUACAGAGGCCUUUUUAUAGGUGGCCUGUAGUGCCAUAUAGUUUUUGCUUAGAGUUGAGCAUUUUCCUAAGCUUAUGGGGUUAACCACGAUUAUGGGAGAGUUCUUGAAGCAUUUUUGAAUGUAAUGCUUUUAUUUAAUGUUUGUAAGCAAGUUCAAAGGUGUCAGAUACAAAUGUCCCAGUAUGGCACAAGGACGAGACGUGGCAUUGGGGAUUGGGCUGUUCUGUUGCUAGUGCACACAAAUGUGGCAAUGAACUUUUUCCCUCGUGCUUUAGAGCAUUAAAACAGCUGUUUUGGAUCAGAGCAAAGUGGGCAGCAGCUGUGGCAGUGAUCUGCCUGUGAUUAGUGGGCUCAGGCACUCGUGGAGUCACAGAUGGGCUUUGUGCUCUUAAGGGCACUGUGCUUUUAGGGCUCCCGCUUUUGCACCAGUGUGCUUCUUAAAGUGCUAAAAGUUUUCCCAGCUGGAAGUCCUCACAGCAUCACACAGCAAAGAGCUCUGGGUAUCAGCAUCCACACAAAGGCACCGCGCAGUCCGCCUGUGUUCCAAUGGGCACAAACAGCACUGAUUGCGUAUUAAAGCCAUUGUCACCAUCACAACCUGGGAGGAGAGCAGAGUGCCAGGACGCUGCAGGACCCCGAAGAUUAUGUCUUAUAAAUAAACAGCUCAAAUUUGUC